UGGGGAAUAUUGGACAAUGGGCGAAAGCCUGAUCCAGCCAUGCCGCUUGUGUGAAGAAGGUCUUCGGAUUGUAAAGCACUUUAAGUUGGGAGGAAGGGCAUUAACCUAAUACGUUAGUGUUUUGACGUUACCGACAGAAUAAGCACCGGCUAACUCUGUGCCAGCAGCCGCGGUAAUACGGAGGGUGCAAGCGUUAAUCGGAAUUACUGGGCGUAAAGCGCGCGUAGGUGGUUUGGUAAGUUGGAUGUGAAAUCCCCGGGCUCAACCUGGGAACUGCAUUCAAAACUGACUGACUAGAGUAUGGUAGAGGGUGGUGGAAUUUCCUGUGUAGCGGUGAAAUGCGUAGAUAUAGGAAGGAACACCAGUGGCGAAGGCGACCACCUGGACUAAUACUGACACUGAGGUGCGAAAGCGUGGGGAGCAAACA
rnacentral:rRNA from 1 species